GUGCGACCACGUCAUCCUUAGGCAUAUGAAUAACAACAUUGUCGGGCAGCGAUGUCUUGGGCCCAAGCUUGCCAGUUGGGUCCCAGUCAAGCAUGAUCUUAACCUUGAUACCAAGAACACCCUGUUUGAUAUUAACAAAUUCAGUUAAUUCUUGAAAAUGUCAUCUAAAAAGCGUAAAGUCAAUUCCUAAACCUGUCUAAGAAGCACAUGUCUGACAGCAGAGUCAAUAUACUCCUUGACUGGCUGACCAGAUGAUACCAUGUAUCCAUCCUUGAAUUUCAUUGACUUUGCACGCUGAGCCCUAAGCUUUCCACUAACAAUCACCUGAAAAAAGCGUUGGCAAAUAUAAUAAACAUUUUAGCAUCACUAUAUUAGAUGCGAAAAUUAAUAAGCGAAAUCAUCACUAAUGAAUUAUUCUUUUCAUUUAUGAACCGACUUGGUUUUCUUGUGAACAGACAUAUCCCUAACUUUUUAUAAUGCUUAAUAUUAAAUCAACAUACUGUUGUAUAAAUUAAUGUGACGGUUUGCAUGGCGGAUAUAUGAACAAAAUAAAUUAUAAAUUAAAGUGUCAUGACUUUUUGCAAGGGGUAAAAUGGUUCGGAUGGGAGCAAAUUAAUUUGUAAAUGCCUAGUAAAUUUCUACUUAUGUUGCGACAGAGAUGCGUGUUUGUUUUAAAGUUAUAAUUUUUAUUACAUUACUUUCCCAAAAAAAUUGUUACCAUAUAUUUUAUUAAAAUCUUUAAAUGGAUUUAGUGAAAAUCUUGAUAAACACAAUAAAACCGUCGGCGCCCUCGGUUUUUAACUUACCAAAUAAAACCAUUUAUUUAUGCCACUGCUAACUACUCCAUUCCAAUUCUCCAUCGCAACCACCAUUUCAUCUUCCAAUGAUUCAUCGGACGGUGGCCUGUUCUUGGCUGGAGUCUGCCAUUAAAAGUCGAAGCCCGUCACAUCCAACCGUAAACUCGUAGUCUGCCGAAGCAACGGAAACCGCAUGGAUGCCGCCGUGCUCGGUCAUCUUAGGUUGGCCGGAAUCUGUCGACCCUCCAUCGCUCAAUCGUGAAGUCCUCUCUUUCUUUUUCUAAGUAUUGAAAUGCCUCGUCUUCUCCACCAAACCACCGCACCGCCACCAUAGCCUGAACGCUGACCCAUUGUCAGAACCGGACACCACCAUAAAACCGCCAGCGCACAACCACAUCUCUCUCUCCGCCAUCAUCGGUGGCCAGCCUCCAUGGCUAGUGCCGGAAGUCUGUUGGUUCAAACGAAGGGCAAUUUUGUAUUAUGUACCGAAUUGAUUAAUUGCAUGUAUUACUGGGGAAGUUUAAAAAAAGAUCUUUGAACACUAACAAAACAGGAAAUAGAGAGAAACCUGUAUCGAUCUUCGUUCGUUCGUGGGGGAGGCAAAAAACAGUGGUGCGCUGUAGACAGGAGAAAAGAUGAAGAUAGCGGUGGCGGAAGAUGAAUGAUGGUGGGGGUUAUAUAGUGCAUGAAACGGUUGCAAACGGGUGGAUUGUUUUGACGCGCCGGUUUGGUUCUUUUCAAAAGGUGCAUGAGUUUGGUUGCUGAAAGUAAAGUGACGACGUCGAAAGACGCGUUGGUUUGGAUAUUUUGCCGGUUCCAUAGUGAGUUUGAUUGUCAAAUGUAAAGUGACCAUGUCCAAAAGGCGCGUGGGAUGGAAUAUUGUCAUUUCAACCGUUUGUUGA
rnacentral:lncRNA from 1 species